GACGAACGCUGGCGGCGUGCUUAACACAUGCAAGUCGAACGGUAAGGCCCUUCGGGGUACACGAGUGGCGAACGGGUGAGUAACACGUGGGUGAUCUGCCCUGCACUUCGGGAUAAGCCUGGGAAACUGGGUCUAAUACCGGAUAGGACCACUGCCUGCAUGGGUGGUGGUGGAAAGCUUUUGCGGUGUGGGAUGGGCCCGCGGCCUAUUAGCUUGUUGGUGGGGUGAUGGCCUACCAAGGCGACGACGGGUAGCCGGCCUGAGAGGGUGACCGGCCACACUGGGACUGAGAUACGGCCCAGACUCCUACGGGAGGCAGCAGUGGGGAAUAUUGCACAAUGGGCGCAAGCCUGAUGCAGCGACGCCGCGUGAGGGAUGACGGCCUUCGGGUUGUAAACCUCUUUCAGCACCGACGAAGCGCAAGUGACGGUAGGUGCAGAAGAAGGACCGGCUAACUUCGUGCCAGCCGCCGCGGUAA
rnacentral:rRNA from 1 species